rnacentral:rRNA from 1 species
AGCAGUGGGGAAUUUUGGACAAUGGGCGAAAGCCUGAUCCAGCAAUGCCGCGUGAGUGAAGAAGGCCUUCGGGUUGUAAAGCUCUUUUGUCAGGGAAGAAACGGUGAGAGCUAAUAUCUCUUGCUAAUGACGGUACCUGAAGAAUAAGCACCGGCUAACUACGUGCCAGCAGCCGCGGUAAUACGUAGGGUGCAAGCGUUAAUCGGAAUUACUGGGCGUAAAGCGUGCGCAGGCGGUUUUGUAAGUCUGAUGUGAAAUCCCCGGGCUCAACCUGGGAAUUGCAUUGGAGACUGCAAGGCUAGAAUCUGGCAGAGGGGGGUAGAAUUCCACGUGUAGCAGUGAAAUGCGUAGAUAUGUGGAGGAACACCGAUGGGCGAAAGGCAGCCCCCUGGGUCAAGAUUGACGCUCAUG